AGAGACAGCAGUAACACCUUCUGGCUAUAGUCUAUUUUCAUCUUUCUCAUCCUAGUGUUAUCAAGAGAAAAACAGUCUUAGAUGCAACAUAAAAAUUUCAGAGACAGAAGAAAUCUUCCUUUGAGGGCAGGAUUGAAAUGCUAUUUUUCUUCCCUGGUACAAUGUUAAAGCUUUAAACUCUUGUCAAUGAUGUGAUGUUUCAUCUGCAAUGAUCUACACUAGAAAAAUAAAAAUGUAGUUACUGACAAAAAAGCAGGUAAGAAUUUUUUUUUAACUGAUUUAUGGAUAUCCUACAUUCAUAUAUAUAAUCUUGCUUGAAUCCAUGUAAUUUUCUGCAAGAGUAUUGAAAAAAUACUAAUUUUGUUCAGAUAUUUGACUAUAAACUCACUUUCUAUGUUUUAUCCCCUAAAGAAACAUUAACUGAACUAGUACAUAUCUUUAGUAAAUGAUAUGACCAGCAUUAAGAAAAAUCAAGAGGAAAAUGUAAAUAAUUAAAAUUACUAACAAAAGUACUAGCAGCUAUUAGUUUGGUGCAAAAGUAAAUGGUUUUUGCUAUUACUUUUAAUGACAAAAGCACAAUUACUUUAGCAUCAACUGCAUACAUUGUUAUUUUGAUUAGAGUGUGAUCUGCUUUAUGUGAUUCGUUUGCUAAAAUUCAACUCCAGAAAAUAUGAACAUUUGAUAUUUUUUAAAGUCUAACUAUAUUCCUCAGAAAGCUUUGAAUCUACCUAUCUAUUCAUUUAUAUAUUCAUUUAAAUAUAUUUGUACUUUCUUCUCAUUCUGUUUUUCUACCCUAAUUAAAUUACCAUACUUUUUAAACAGAAAAUAAUUGUUUCAUAAUAUAAGAUCACAUAGUUGUUUUCAAUAAGAAGUAUUGUAUUGUAAAUCCAACUUGUAAACUCAAUCAUUGUGGAAAUAUCAUUGUGGUACAUCCAAAUGGACAAUUAUUUAAAGACACUUCUAUAGUUUUUAAUAGAAUUCAGUCAUUAAUCUUUCUCUAAAUAUGAA
rnacentral:lncRNA from 1 species